UGCUCUGAUGGUGUAGUGGUUAGAGCAUCCUCCUCAGAUGUGGGAGGUUGUGGGUUCGAACCCCAGCUGAGGCAU